UACGAAGGGGGCUAGCGUUGCUCGGAAUGACUGGGCGUAAAGGGCGCGUAGGCGGUUUGGACAGUCAGAUGUGAAAUUCCUGGGCUCAACCUGGGGGCUGCAUUUGAUACGUUCGGACUAGAGUGGGGAAGAGGGUCGUGGAAUUCCCAGUGUAGAGGUGAAAUGCGUAGAUAUCGGGAGGAACACCUGAGGCGAAGGCGGGCUACUGGGCCGAUACUGACGCUGAUGCGCGAAAGCGUGGGGAGCAAACAGG
rnacentral:rRNA from 1 species